UCCCAUAUUGUCUAGUGGUUAGGAUACCAAGCUCUCACCCAGGAGGCCCGGCUUCUAUUCCCGGUAUGGGAA
rfam:Daphnia pulex DAPPTscaffold_136_Cont5525, whole genome shotgun sequence.